rnacentral:rRNA from 1 species
GACGAACGCUGGUGGCGUGCUUAACACAUGCAAGUCGAACGAGGGGAUUAGAAGCUUGCUUUUAUGACCCGAGUGGCAAACGGGUGAGUAACGCGUAGACAACCUGCCUCUCAGAUGGGGACAACAUCCCGAAAGGGGUGCUAAUACCGAAUGUUGUGCAAUCUCCACAUGGAGGAUGCACCAAAGGUGGUUUCGGCCACCGCUGAGAGAUGGGUCUGCGUCUGAUUAGCUUGUUGGCGGGGUAACGGCCACCAAGGCGACGAUCAGUAGCCGGUCUGAGAGGAUGAACGGCACAUUGGAACUGAGACACGGUCCAGACUCCUACGGGAGGCAGCA